AGAUAACAACGCCUAUCCCUACCUCCUCGUGGUACUGACCGGGGUACGAGCAACCUUAGGAAAGAUCGGGUAACCAACCCCGGUGGAAACUUUGGUCAUAUGCUGUCAGGGAAGG
rnacentral:ribozyme from 1 species